UGUUGUCUGAUGCGUGAAUGAAGAAGCCGCAAACCUAACGCUCAGUUCUCUGAGGAUCUGUGCUGUGGAAUCUGUGUCAAGUAAUCCUCCUUUGCUUCGGAGUUAUGAGGAGGUCUGAAGGCAUUAAAUGAAAUCAAAUCUUCUCUCCGGCUGACCCGAUCAGGCCCGCUCGCCACAGAGCCGCAACAGCCACUGCGCUUUCAUGGAUGCCAACGAUGGAUCUCCACCUCUCGUUCGGCCGAAGAAAUCAAUGCCCGAAUGGAAGCCAUGUCCUUUGCUGACCAAAUACAACUCCCAACAGUGUCUCCCCAUGCUAUUUAAACCCCCCUCCAGCCCCUCACGUUCCUCACCCAUCCUCCUCCUCCUCUUUCUUCUUCUUCUUCUUCUUCUUCUUCUUCUUUCUCACAACUCCAUGAAGAUAACCUUUGUGCUCAUUGCUUUCCUCGUCUUCGUGUCUUUAGCCCAUGCGGGCCGGACAGCGCCAGUGGAAUAUCCAGAGAAGACCAGCCUUCAGGGCGUGCAGAAGGAGACGCCGGAGAGGGUGGAAGGAUGUGAGGGCGUCGGGGCGGAUGAAUGCUUGAUGAGGAGAUCCCUGGCAGCUCACACUGACUACAUCUACACCCAGGAGCACCAUUAAGAGGGAGGUGGUGACACGGUUGUGCUCUUUUGGCUGGUGGAUCUUUCUGCCACAAGCAUUCCAUCCAUCGUGUCAUGAUCACUGCUAUGUCUCAUGUGUGUUGCUGGCUUUAGGAGUAACAUGCAGGUCGUGUGAUGCUGACCUGCAUCUAUGUUCUAUGUUUCCAGGACUCGUAAACACCAAUAAAUAUAGGGUAAAUUUUGGUUUUA